UACGUACCGGACGAACGUUAUUCGGAAUCACUGGGCUUAAAGAGUGCGUAGGCGGCUUAGUAGGUGAGAUGUGAAAUCCCACGGCUCAACCGUGGAACUGCGUUUCAAACCACUAGGCUUGAGGGAGACAGGGGUGAGCGGAACUGAUGGUGGAGCGGUGAAAUGCGUUGAUAUCAUCAGGAACACCGGUGGCGAAGGCGGCUCACUGGGUCUCUUCUGACGCUGAGGCACGAAAGCGUGGGGAGCGAACAGG
rnacentral:rRNA from 1 species